rnacentral:rRNA from 1 species
UAGGGAAUAUUGGUAAUGUGCGAAAGCGCGAACCAGCAACGCCGCGUGCACGAUGAAGGCCUUCGGGUCGUAAAGUGCUUUUAGAGAGGAUGAGGAAGGACAGUACUUUCUGAAUAAGCCUCGGCUAACUACGUGCCAGCAGCCGCGGUAAAACGUAGGAGGCUAGCGUUAUCCGGAUUUACUGGGCGUAAAGCGCAUGCAGGUGGUUUUGUAAGUUGGAUGUGAAAGCUCCUGGCUUAACUGGGAGAGGUCGUUCAAAACUACAAGACUUGAGAUUGGUAGAGGAUAAUGAAAUUCCGGGUGUUGUGGUGAAAUGCGUAGAUAUCCGGAGGAACACCAGUGGCGAAAGCGGUUUUCUGGACCAAUUCUGACACUCAGAUGCGAAAGCUAAGGUAGCAAACG